rnacentral:ncRNA from 1 species
UAACCUCUGGAACUGUUUUGAAUGUUG